rnacentral:rRNA from 1 species
UACGGAGGGUGCAAGCGUUGUCCGGAUUUAUUGGGUUUAAAGGGUGCGUAGGCGGCUAAUUAAGUCAGCGGUGAAAUUCCACAGCUCAACUGUGGAACUGCCAUUGAUACUGGUUGGCUUGAGUACAGAUGAGGUAGGCGGAAUUGACAGUGUAGCGGUGAAAUGCUUAGAUAUGUGGAGGAACACCGAUGGCGAAGGCAGCCCCCUGGGUUAACACUGACGCUCAUGCACGAAAGCGUGGGGAGCAAACAGG